CAAAUCGAUUUAUGUUUUGACAUUUUGUCGACAUUACAAGUGUUAUCACUUCGAGUUAUGUUUCUUUAAUAUAAUCGUAUAAAACGAAUAAUAUUCAUGAUGGAAAUGGAGACGGACCCUCUGGAGGGAAGCAGCUACGAGGUGGGAGUGACUGUGAAGACAGAAAUUAAGGAGGAGAGCGAAGAUGAUCAUUACAAUACGAUGGCCCUCCUAGAACUAGCCCAAUGCGUCCAAACCAACCAAGAACCAAUCGAAUUCAACUCCACAGACGCAAUGAUGGACCCAAAAACCGGAUUGAUGAUCUGCCUCCACUGCCUCGAAGACUUCGACUCCAGUCUACUAUCAGACCAUAUGAUGACCGCACACAACUACCGCAGAGUGCUAUUCAAGUGUCAACUCUGCCAAAGUACGUUUCAAGAACGGAAACUCUUGAACAUACAUCGUCAGGAAUGUCAACCGGAGCAGAAAGUGAGGAAAAGGAAAACGUUUCAGCAGAUUCUUCGGGAUGUUGAGGCAAAAUACUAUGUUGGUGAUCAACAGGCUUUGUUAGAACCAGUAUCCUGCCCCAUUUGUCUCUUGGAGUUACCGAAGUACUGCCUAAAGGAACAUUUGUUGAAUGAGCAUCGGAAACCAGAUGUGAUACUGACAUGUGGACGGUGUAAUAGGAAUUUUAAAUCGAAGUUGACUUUGAGGGAACAUGUGAAGUUGGUCCAUGAGGCUGUUGAAGACUCUGAGGAGUGUGAGCUGUGCGGACAGAAGUUCAGGUCGCUCAAGUAUCUGUCCAAUCAUAAGAGGAAUGUGCAUCCUAGCGGCAACAAGAUCCACAAAUGCAUGGUUUGCGGCAAGGAGUUCAAGUCUCGCCUGUGCCUGCACCAGCACAGUAAAUACGUGCAUCCUCCAGAGUCUGCCUCCGUGGAAUGCCCUCACUGUCCCAACAAAAUAUUCAAGUCCAGAAUGAAUUUGACACAACACCUCAAAGUGUCACAUGGGUAUAAGAGAAAACUGAGCAGUAUACCUACCAUGUAAACUACCGGAGCUGCGGACGGUCGCUUCGCUUCAAGCUUCCUUGUGCGAACUGCUAGGGAGUGGAACUCCUUGCCGGAGUCUGUGUUUCCUGAUGGGUAUAACCUGGGUGUCUUCAAGGCCCGAGUGAAUAGGUUGCUUAUGGGCAGACGUGUUCCACCGUAGGCCGCAUCAUCACUUACCAUCAGGUGAGAUAGCGGCCAAACGUCGACCCAUUAAAUGUAAAAAAAAAACUC